rnacentral:rRNA from 1 species
AGUGAACGCUGGCGGUAGGCCUAACACAUGCAAGUCGAACGGCAGCACAGGAGAGCUUGCUCUCUGGGUGGCGAGUGGCGGACGGGUGAGGAAUACAUCGGAAUCUACUCUGUCGUGGGGGAUAACGUAGGGAAACUUACGCUAAUACCGCAUACGACCUACGGGUGAAAGCAGGGGACCUUCGGGCCUUGCGCGAUUGAAUGAGCCGAUGUCGGAUUAGCUAGUUGGCGGGGUAAAGGCCCAACAAGGCGACGAUCCGUAGCUGGUCUGAGAGGAUGAUCAGCCACGCUGGAACUGAGACACGGUCCAGACUCCUACGGGAAGCAGCAGUGAGGAAUAUUGGACAAUGGGCGCAAGCCUGAUCCAGCCAUACCGCGUGGGUGAAGAAGGCCUUCGGGUUGUAAAGCCCUUUUGUUGGGAAAGAAAUCCAGCUGGCUAAUACCCGGUUGGGAUGACGGUACCCAAGAAUAAGCACCGGCUAACUUCGUGCCAGCCGCCGCGGUAA